rnacentral:lncRNA from 1 species
AUGGAAGGAGCGCGGAGCGUCGGCGCCGAGGGGCGGGGGAUUGCGGAGGAGGUGGCUCUCACGAUCAGUCCUCCGCCCGCGGCUCCGGAUGAGGAUUUGGCCGGAGUCGGCCCCGGAGUGGGGAGUCGCCCUCCAGCCCAGAUGUGAGACAAUCCACAGUGCCCAUUAAAGAUCUGAUAACCCUGAAACUAAGCCCCGUGGCAAUGAAGCACAGCCAGGCGUAAACUUGAUGACUUGACUUGAUGACUCGGGCGUAAACUCAAGAAUGGAAGAGGAAAGGAAGAGAAGAAAAAAGAAAAGCCAAUGACCUCACCUUAUGGGAGCUGCUGCUAUACCUUGUUGAUACCCACUACGAGCCCUUCAUCUUACCGUCCUGAUGCGCUCAGGAUUAUUUCAUGUAGGUCGCUCUUAUCUCUAAUCAGAUGUGUGGACAUGUGUCUGGAACAUUUUCCUUGCACUUAA